GAAAUAUUGUCUUCGUAUAAAAAGUUCAACAGGCAAAAUUGCCGAUAUUUUCAUCGAUUGUUUCGAGGAAAUUCAUUUUCCUAUUGAGCAAAUUCAAGUAUGGCAAAAAAUCAAAAAUAAUGGGUAUAUUUUGAAUUACAACAAUAAUUUACAUAUUUAUUUUGCACAAAGUAGCGUUUUCCAACAAGUGCAGCCGUUGCAAGUCAGGAUCAUUUGGGUGUCCGUCCACGUUUGCUGGUGCAUGUAUUUUUACCACUGCAGCCUUUGGGUUGAUCCUUUGCAUAUAUACAA